GUGAAUCAUCAAAUUUUUGAACGCAAAUUGCACUCUCCUCGGAGAGUAUGCCUGUUUGAGGGUCAGCCUAUAAAAAAUCGACAUCGUUGCUGUUUCGCGGUGGCGUUCGUCGGAAAUUGGGUCAUCUUAAAUCUUUUGGUUUUAAGCGACUUAAAAUUUUCUUUUUGGUUCCAUGAAUGUUUCUAAGAUUUAUUUCUUUACACUUUUAAGGUAUCGAUUUUUAUUAGACGUGACCAUCAU
rnacentral:misc_RNA from 1 species